rnacentral:rRNA from 1 species
UACAGAGGGUGCGAGCGUUACUCGGAAUUACUGGGCGUAAAGCGUGCGUAGACGGUUAUUUAAGUCGGGUGUGAAAGCCCCGGGCUCAACCUGGGAAUUGCAUUCGAGACUGAAUAGCUAGGGUACGGUAGAGGGAAGCGGAAUUUCCGGUGUAGCGGUGAAAUGCGUAGAUAUCGGAAGGAACAUCAGUGGCGAAAGCGACUUCCUGGACCAAUACUGACGCUCAUGUGCGAAAGCGUGGGGAGCAAACAGG